UCAACGUUUCAGUAGAGGACUUUCAUCAGGAUCAAAUACAAAAAAAAAAUUUUUUUGUAUUUGAUCCCGAUGAAAGUCCUCUAUGCAGGACUGAAACG